rnacentral:rRNA from 1 species
GCCCAGACUCCUACGGGAGGCAGCAGUGGGGGAUAUUGCACAAUGGGGGGAACCCUGAUGCAGCGACGCCGCGUGGGUGAAGAAGUAUUUCGGUAUGUAAAGCUCUAUCAGCAGGGAAGAAAAUGACGGUACCUGACUAAGAAGCCCCGGCUAACUACGUGCCAGCAGCCGCGGUAAUACGUAGGGGGCAAGCGUUAUCCGGAUUUACUGGGUGUAAAGGGAGCGUAGACGGCAUGGCAAGUCAGAUGUGAAAGCCCGGGGCUCAACCCCGGGACUGCAUUUGAAACUGUCAGGCUGGAGUGCAGGAGAGGUAAGUGGAAUUCCUAGUGUAGCGGUGAAAUGCGUAGAUAUUAGGAGGAACACCAGUGGCGAAGGCGGCGUACUGGACUGUAACUGACGUUGAGGCUCGAAAGCGUGGGGAGCAAACAGGAUUAGAUACCCCAGUAACC